GCCUUCGUAGUGUGGUGGCAUGCACGCCAGGUUGUGGUCCUGGAGGUACUCGGUUCGAUUCCGGUCGAAGGCCC
rnacentral:tRNA from 1 species